CGUAGGUGGCAAGCGUUGUCCGGAUUUAUUGGGUUUAAAGGGUGCGUAGGCGGCCCUGUAAGUCAGUGCUGAAAUAUCCCGGCUUAACCGGGAGGGUGGCAUUGAUACUGCGGGGCUUGAGUACAGAUGAGGUAGGCGGAAUUGACGGUGUAGCGGUGAAAUGCAUAGAUAUCGUCAAGAACACCGAUAGCGAAGGCAGCUUACUAAGUUGUAACUGACGCUGAUGCACGAAAGUGUGGGGAUCAAACAGGA
rnacentral:rRNA from 1 species